AUAUUGAAACACUGGUUCACGUACGAUCACCGAAGUUAAGCAACGUCGGGCCUGCUCAGUACCCAGAUGGGUGACCGCUUUGUAAUAUAAGUGGUUGUA